AGCAGCCGCGGUAAUUCCAGCUCCAAUAGCGUAUAUUAAAGUUGUUGCAGUUAAAAAGCUCGUAGUUGAAUUUCGGGAUCAAUACGUUGGUCGUGCUUUCGGGUACGUACUGGCGUCAUUGGUUUCUCUCUUCUGACGAACCAUGAUGUCAUUAAUUUGGUGUUAUGGGGAGUUAGGACUGUUACUUUGAAAAAAUUAGAGUGUUUAAAGCAAGCUAACGCUUGAAUACAUUAGCAUGGAAUAAUGAAAUAGGACGUUCGAUCCUAUUUUGUUGGUUUCUAGGAUUGACGUAAUGAUUAAUAGGGAUAGUUGGGGGCAUUAGUAUUCAAUUGUCAGAGGUGAAAUUCUUGGAUUUAUUGAAGACUAACUACUGCGAAAGCAUUUGCCAAGGAUGUUUUCAUUAAUCAAGAACGAAAGUUAGGGGAUCGAAGACGAUCAGAUACCGUCGUAGUCUUAACCAUAAACUAUGCCGACUAGGGAUCGGAUGAUGCUAAUUUUUUUAAUGACUCAUUCGGCGCCU
rnacentral:rRNA from 1 species